GGCUGGUCUGAUGGUAGUGGGUUAUCAGAAUCACAACACUAAUGUUGUUUCACUAAAGCUGGGAUACAACCCCUGACUCCUGCAUUUAACUAGCUUUUU
rnacentral:Y_RNA from 1 species